AGAGUUUGAUCCUGGCUCAGAACGAACGCUGGCGGCAGGCCUAACACAUGCAAGUCGAGCGCUAAGCUUCCCUUCGGGGGAGUGGAGAGCGGCGGACGGGUGAGUAACGCGUGGGAACAUACCCUUUGGUGGGGGAUAACGGUUGGAAACGACCGCUAAUACCGCAUACGCCCUGGACUUAGGUUUGGGGGAAAGAUUUAUUGCCGAAGGAUUGGCCCGCGUUGGAUUAGCUAGUUGGUAGGGUAACGGCCUACCAAGGCAACGAUCUAUAGCUGGUCUGAGAGGAUGAUCAGCCACACUGGGACUGAGACACGGCCCAGACUCCUGCGGGAGGCAGCAGUGGGGAAUAUUGGACAAUGGGCGCAAGCCUGAUCCAGCCAUGCCGCGUGAGUGAAGAAGGCCUUAGGGUUGUAAAACUCUUUCACCGGUGAAGAUAAUGACGGUAACCGGAGAAGAAGCCCCGGCUAACUCCGUGCCAGCAGCCGCGGUAAUACGGAGGGGGCUAGCGUUGUUCGGAAUCACUGGGCGUAAAGCGCACGUAGGCGGUUUAUCAAGUUGGGCGUGAAAGCCCGGGGCUCAACCCCGGAAUAGCGCCCAAAACUGGUUGACUCGAGUCCGAGAGAGGGUGGUGGAAUUCCCAGUGUAGAGGUGAAAUUCGUAGAUAUUGGGAAGAACACCGGUGGCGAAGGCGGCCACCUG
rnacentral:rRNA from 1 species